GAUGAACGCUGGUGGCGUGCCUAAUACAUGCAAGUCGAACGCUGGAAAUCUAGCUUGCUAGAUUGAAGGAGUGGCGAACGGGUGAGUAAUACAUAAGCAACCUACCCACGAAGACUGGGAUAAUCUCUGGAAACGGGGACUAAUACCGGAUAGGUAAUCGGAAGGCAUCUUCUGAUUAUUAAAGGUUAAAAACACUGGUGGAUGGGCUUAUGGCGCAUUAGUUAGUUGGUGAGGUAACGGCCCACCAAGACGAUGAUGCGUAGCCGGCCUGAGAGGGUGAACGGCCACAUUGGGACUGAGACACGGCCCAGACUCCUACGGGAGGCAGCAGUAGGGAAUUUUCGGCAAUGGGGGAAACCCUGACCGAGCAACGCCGCGUGAGUGAGGACGGCCUUCGGGUUGUAAAGCUCUGUUGUAAGGGAAGAACGGUAGAUAGAGAAUAUCUAAAUGACGGUACCUUACCAGAAAGCCACGGCUAACUACGUG
rnacentral:rRNA from 1 species